GGAUGUAAAGCGAAAACCUUUCUAUAUUGUACGACUGGUUUUUCUGCCCCUCAUUAUAAUUGUUCUGUUGUCGUUUUCUGUUUUCUGGAUGGACCGAUCGACGAUUGGCGAUCGGUUGAGUGUCUCGUUCAUCGGAAUCCUGACCGCUGUUGCCUACCAACUUAUGGUAAGUGACCAACUCCCUAGUAUCUCUUACUUCACACUCAUUCAUGGGUUCCUGAACCUCAGCUUUUAUAUUAUGUGCACAACAGUUGUCAUUAAUCUGGUAGUAGCCUCGUUAGACAAGAAAGGAAAGAGCGAACUUGGUGAUCGUCUAGAUUGCCGAUGUCGUUGGGCCUUCCCACUCGUAUAUUUUGGACUCUUAUUCAUCAUGUUCUGUGGAGCGAUGCUGUUCUUUUAGCCUUGUACUAUUGAAAUUCCAUUUUUGUCUUUUGAUGAGGUGCAAUCUUAGGGAGGUUGGACAGAUUCCGGA
rnacentral:rRNA from 1 species